AGAAAACCCAUUACCGCACCAGAUCUGAAUGCAGUAAUAAAAGCUUUCCCGACUCCUUUUCUGGCUUCCAGAGUUGUCCUUGCAUUUGCAUAUGUUGCUAUUUUCAUCCCAAGGAAACCAGAAACAACUGAAGUGACAGCACCAAGCAAGAAGGAUAUUGUGCUGAAGAUGGCCGUAGCAAGGGCUGGCUUGCACAUUUUCUCCUUGUUGUAAGUGCAUGGCUGGCUCUUGGUGCUGAAGCCCUCAACAGAG
rnacentral:misc_RNA from 1 species